UACGGGGGGGGCAAGCGUUGUUCGGAAUUACUGGGCGUAAAGGGCGCGUAGGCGGCCUGGCAAGUGGAAGGUGAAAUCCCUCGGCUUAACCGAGGAACUGCCUCCCAAACUGCUUGGCUUGAGACCGGGAGAGGUGAGUGGAAUUCCCAGUGUAGCGGUGAAAUGCGUAGAUAUUGGGAGGAACACCAGUGGCGAAGGCGGCUCACUGGACCGGUACUGACGCUGAUGCGCGAAAGCCAGGGGAGCAAACGGG
rnacentral:rRNA from 1 species